rnacentral:rRNA from 1 species
UACGAAGGGGGCUAGCGUUGUUCGGAAUUACUGGGCGUAAAGCGCGCGCAGGCGGCUAUCCAAGUCAGUGGUGAAAGCCCGGAGCUCAACUCCGGAACUGCCAUUGAAACUGUUUAGCUUGAGGAGUGGAGGGGGGACUGGAAUUCUCGGUGUAGCAGUGAAAUGCGUAGAUAUCGAGAGGAACACCAGUGGCGAAGGCGAGUCCCUGGACACUUCCUGACACUGAGGCACGAAAGCUAGGGGAGCAAACAGG